rnacentral:rRNA from 1 species
UGGGGAAUUUUGCACAAUGGGGGAAACCCUGAUGCAGCGACGCCGCGUGAUUUAGAAGGCCUUCGGGUUGUAAAAAUCUUUUCUAUGGGAAGAAAAUGACAGUACCAUAGGAAUAAGGACCGGCUAAUUACGUGCCAGCAGCCGCGGUAAUACGUAAGGUCCGAGCGUUGUCCGGAAUCAUUGGGCGUAAAGCGCACGUAGGCGGACUAUUAAGUCAGGGGUGAAAUCCCGGGGCUCAACCCCGGAACUGCCUUUGAUACUGGUAGUCUUGAGUUCGAGAGAGGUGAGUGGAAUUCCGAGUGUAGAGGUGAAAUUCGUAGAUAUUCGGAGGAACACCAGUGGCGAAGGCGGCUCACUGGCUCGAUACUGACGCUGAGGUGCGAAAGCGUGGGGAGCAAACAGG